UCAUAAUGAAACCCAUUAUUUUGUCAAACUGAUUUAAAAACUGGGGGCCACUAAAGAUGUACCUCACUCAGAAGAGUGCUUUCCCAUCACACAGGAGACCUCAUUACACUUCAUCCUUAGUGAGUCCGAGGCCAGCCUGGGAGAGGGGAGACAAGACACACAAAGUAAAAGCUAUAGUCUAUUAACCAGGAAGGGCACCCUGCUAGAGACCAUGUUCACCACCAGUAAUGUGGCCUUAGGCGUCCCAGCCAGCAGCACCUGGAGCAGUAGACCGGGGUAGGUGAGGAGACAUCUGAGCCACACCAUCCUUUGUAUAUAGAACAGCUCAGAUGGACUAGGAGACAGAUCCUAAGCCAUGCUGACUAAGCAGCGUCCUCAGCCAGCAAGGCUUGAGUAACAGCUGCUUCCAGGGGUUCCCCCCACCCCAUCUGUCCCAUCUGCCUGCUGCUCAACACAAUGUUGAUGGCCACAGGUGUUCAGUGGGCACAUGCACACGAAUGUCAAUGGAUGUGGGGCUCCAGUUUCCAGGCACAGUUUUAACAUCUAUCUGUCAGGUUUUAGCAGCUCUCAGCAUCACCUCCUUGGUGAGUUUCUUAUAAGGCUCAUGGAUCUGCUAGCUCUUUAGGCUGGAAGUCCCCUGCUGCCACCUAUGAAUGCUUCCACUCCCUGUCCCUAGUCCUCUACUAACGAGGCCUGCGCUUGGCCCAUCAUAAAGGGGUUUGUGGAAUUCAGACAAAACAUAUGGUGUUUGCCCAGAAUCUUGCAGUUUUUAUUUAUGUUUUAAAUAACUUGUUUUUCUUAUUGUUACAAAACAGCACAUGUCUGUUUGGAAAAAACUAGGCAAGCAGAAAUUAAGCACAAAUCUUUCAUAAAUCCCUCAGUCUCAGAAAAUCGCUGUUUAAUGUUUCUGGCUUUGUGCACACACACACACACGCAUAGACAUGUAUUUAGAGAAAUGGGGUCAUUGCCGUGUAUUUAGUGAUUUGUAACCUGCCUUUUCUUUUAACCAUGUCUCAUUGCCUUAAAUGGUCCUCUUGCACUAUUAUUUAUCCCCACUCCCACGUGUCCACUCUUGCUGCCAUCAAUCCCCCACAGCUAUUUACAAACCAAGCACUAUAAAUUAGAACAAACUAAACGGAUUGACAGUGUGGAGGGCUUUCCUUGCUAACUGGUGCUUUGGAUGGCGUUGUCUACUCAGACACAAACCUUGUAUCUCAUGAAAUGUUUGUUUCAUGCAGAGCUCCAGAGCCCAGGCUGUAACAGAAAUAAAGAGUUUAUGGAGGAGCCAUACCCUUAAAACUGCUACAGUUUCUAGGAAACUGGAAAAUUCCAUUGCUACAGCCAAUGUCAACAGCACAGGCAAGAGAGGAAUGAAGGAACUCAAAAGGAGGAAAGAAUUUGAUUAACAGAGACUAGGAAUAACUAGCAAAAAUGCCAUGAACAGGACCAGAAAAUGCUGGCUCCCCGUGCUGAUGUCUAGAAAUUAGGAAAUGCUUUUGCCUGCGCUGGAGCGAGUUGGUAAGAUGGCAGGCAUAAAGCUCGUGUUUGUGUCAGGAGCGAUGGUAGCGGUUGUGAAUACUAGCAGCAAUGAAUCUAGAUAACAGCAUCCCAGAAAAUCCCUUAUCUUGGCUUUGGGCCUGCCUGGAUAUUGACAGCGCGCUUGGCUGCAAACCACCUGGAGAUUCCUGCAGUUGCUAAGCCACAGUAAAAGGGAUCUCAACAGUGUUGGAAGGGAAGGGGGCGGGGCUUGUAGAAAGGGGCGUGACGUUCAGACAGAGCUGAGGGGAAAGGUCACAUAAGGAGAGGCUCUGUUUCUCUAACUUCUCCUUGCUUGCUCACUACAGUGGUUGCAGGAGCUGGACCCGCCCGCCCAUCUCCUGAUGCAUUUCUUCACUCUCUGUUUCACAAAAUGCUACCCAGGAGACUGGUCAGCCUUUUCUUGGAUGAAGUAACAGUUUUCAGGCUCCAAGGCCUGGGCCACUGUGACCUGGUGUGAGAGGAAGUACACGAAACGCUACUCAGUGUCUCCUCUGCAAUGGAAAGGGACUUGGUCCCACUCACAUGCACAAGUGACUGGCGGCUUGACUUGGUAUCUUGGCACUCCUGGUGACUGUCUGGGAAAAGCUAAAGCCGCUUUCACAGUUCCAGUGUCUCCAAGCAAUCUCUUUGGAUUCGGAACCUGUCACAGAGAGGAUGAAGCCACUCAGAGCAGCAGAACCUUCAAGAUCCGAUCUCCUCUCCAAAGACCACCAGAGGACAAGACAAGACCACAGGAAAAGGUGGGUUCCAGGAAUCGGGUGUGAAGUGAUGUCUCAGUGGGGUUUUACCAUCUCCACCCCCCCUCCCACCACCAGCGAUUACUGAUGAGCGGAGCACUGGUGUUAGCGGUCACAUGUCUUCCUUUGAGAUAUGCUAUUCACAUCUUUUGAGUGGCUUUUCUUCUCUGUACAUUGCUGGGACUGGGCCUGCCAGGCAAGUGGCUCUACCACUAGGCUGCAUCCCAGGCCCUUUGCUCCUUUUAAUUGGGCUGUUUGUUUUCUCAAGAUGGAGUUGUUUGAAUUCCUUAUGUUAUUUAUAGAUAGGAAGAAAAGCCAAAGAGUAGGAAAGCCCUCUCUGCGUUGUGCUGAAUUUAAAUUCCAAGCAUAUUCCUAUUUUAAGUUUUGCUACUUCUGUGUUUACUUGAUUUGAUUUAAUUUUGAUUUUGUAGCGCUGGGGUUUGAACCCAGAGCCUCACACAUGCCAAGCAAGUGCUCUAUUACUGAGCUAUCAUCACCGAAGCUGUUUCCACUUUGACCUGUUGCUUGUGGAUGAAUUCCCUCAUCACCCUGCCCCAUCUUAGCCCUCCAGUUCAAAUUCCAAUUAUUUGUCUGCUCCUUGGCUUUCUGAUGCCACUUUCUGUUUCAAACAUUCCUUUCCCCUUUCCUAUCGUGGCAAUCCUGAGACUCCAGAUUCCCUCUUUUGCAUUCUUAAACAGCACCCCACAGCGCCUACUCCACAAAGCGGGCACCUUUCCCUUGCUAUGUGCCCAGCUGCUGCAUUAUAGUGACAGGGAGCUCAAAGGAGCUGUUGACACCCAUGGGCUUACAUUUGCAAUGGGCUUGGAAGCUGAGAGAAAAUACCAGAAGGAAGUAAGUGCUUUCUCUUGUCCUUCUUCCUUUCUACUUCUUAGAUUCCUUGGGGCCAACUUUUGGGUCACUGUUUGACUCUAAGUUAAAUCACCACAUGCCCACAAUCAGACCAGCAGUCCUGCAACACCACACACAGUUCCAGGCACACAGCUUACAGAGAUGAAGAAGAUGCAACCUUGGGUCUCAAAGAGUUAAUCACC
rnacentral:sRNA from 1 species